CCUGCAAAAUUGCUUGAUACGAUGAAUAAUUCUCCCCCUUUAAUUGCAUCGAUCGUCGGGCGCGACGUGCCGCGCAACGACGUCGGUACGCGUUCGCCGCUUCCACUCCGAAUCACGGGGACCGAAGGGGGGAAGAGGGGAGGAGGGCCGGAGGGCCGGAGGAAAAGAACGGACGCCCGACGCCGACGCCGACGCCGUUGGCCGUAGCCGCGCGCGCCUCCGCUUGUCGCGCUGGCGCUACUUUUUGAGGUUAUGCCGCGGCUGCCACUCGAGGAAGAGGACACCGCGGGGGAUACGACCGGUUUGUUACGACGCCCGAUUAUCCACGAUUGUCGGCACUCUCGGCGCACACUUGGCGAACAAUCGGCGAACGGACGCGCGCCUCCGCGCGGAAGAAAAAGGUGCGCACCGAUGCGUCGCCAUACCGACGACGUACGACGACGUUGACGUUUCUGUCACGUGCUCGCACAGCUGCGUUGCGCAGCGGUGCAUCUUAUAUAGGGUGUCCGCGCGGUUUCUCAUCGGCUUCCUCGACGCCCACGGUAUUCCCGCAAGUACAUCAAUAAUAAUAACGAAAGCUCGAUCUCCGGAUUGCUAAGAAGAAGCUAACCCGACGCGCGGAGAGAUAAAGACGACAGAAGCGAACACCCCGUUACACGUACGUGCGGAGCGUUUAGAUUCGGCAAGUUUGACUGCCAACUCGUUUACGACAAGUGUCCCGUGACGAUAAACACACCGACACACAGGGAGACGAACGCAGAUCUUCGGUAAUGUACGGUCUCUCGCGAGUCGCAAUUCAAUUAACGUCGGGAUAUCGAUUUCCUGGACGCCCACGCGCGCGUAGAAAAGAAAAACUCGGCGACGCACUACGCGCGACGGCCACCACGCCGUAUAUAUAUAUAUAUACACAUGUGCGUUUUCGUUCGGGAGACAAGCGAUUGCGUAAUGCGGUUACGCGGUUAGUGGGCGUAAUCCGCUGACGUUACAACACAUGUCCCGUCCUCCGAUCGCGCGCGAAAACAUUUGCGUCCGCUUAUCGGGCGAUCGUCGUGUUACAGCGAUGCGAUUAGCAUUUCCCUCGCGAGCACAUUCCGCCUCCCAGACGAAUACUUCGCGGGUCUGCUGCAGCGAGCGAGGCACGUAAAACUGGAUUUGUAAGAAAUGAAAAUGUGGCUGAAACUACAUUCUCUCGAUAAUGAUUUAAUAAUGAUCACUUAAGGCAUUAAUCUUCCCUUCUUAUGAAAGUAAAAUUAAAGGGACGAUUAAAGAGAGCGAAUAAAAUAAGCGAUAAGUUUUGUGCAAAAAUUAGGUAAACGCCUUUACGAUCUGUUUGUUAAGUUAUUUUGAAAAGUAACGAUAAAUUUGUGCAAACAAAUGUUCGAGAUGAUUUGUUUGAAGUUUCAUUGCGAUUACGAGCUAGGUUGUUUAGUAAAUAAAUGAACAAAUAAAUUUUGUUCGUUUACACAAAGCAACUCUCUUCGGUGAACCUUUACAUCUUGAAUACUUCAAGUGCUUAAGUAAAAUAUUUAUUUUGUCAUUAUUUUUGACUAAAUUAUCAUUAAAGCAUAUUUCUACUUCUCAUUGAAAUCAUUUUUGACCCAAGUAUAUAGGAAAUUGUCAUCAAAUUUUUUAUAUUACUUUCAAGUGUAAUAUAAAACCAUAAUUUGUCAUUAUUUUGAAAAUAAGCGUAAGAUUCUUAAGGUAAAAUUAAACAAAGUCCCUUCUGAACAUAUAAGCUAAAGUAAAUAAAUUAUAUUAUGUGUUCUCUAAUUAUUUUUCUUCUCUUUUAAUGCAAUCUAAAUCGUGCAAUUACUCGAUCCAUUAUUAUCAGAGCUGAAGUAUUCCGUUCAAUUGAAAUUUGAUUAUGAAAAAUAGAACAUUAGCGAGAAAAUUAGAAUAAUAAAUUAAGUUUGUAACAUAUCAAUGUGUAUAAGAAAACGAGGUCGGAACAUCUUGGAUCUUUUAUCCUGUAUAACCAGAAAUAUAAUAAGAGAAGUUUAAUUCUG